CAAGAUCCAAGAGCCCAAGACGCCAAAGCCAAAUAGAGACAGGGAUAUGGCUCAUGCACACACAGACAAAGACACAGUCGACAGAGGCAGCAGUGCAGCACGCCAGCACCUAUUGCAGACUUCCAGUGUUGCACUUGCACACAGGGAGACAGGGAGAUCGCCAACGCCAAAGGGGGACGUGGACAUGCACAGACACACAGGCAGCACCGGUUGCACACAGCACACUUAUUAUCCAGUUAUCCUGUCAUUCUGUCCAACAUACACAGGUUGAAGCAAAAUAUAUACUCCCUCCGUUUCGUUUUAGUUGUCGCUGGAUAGUGCAAAAUUGAACUAUCCAGCGACAAUUAAAAAGAAACGGAUGGAGUAUAAGUAAACAGUGCAGCUCAUAGCAAUAAACAGUCAUGCGCUCAUAGUCAUACCAGUAAACAGUUAUGGGCUCAUACAACAAAAUAUAUAUACCUUUGGAGAGGCACCUACUGCUAGUUGCUGUUGCUUGAGACUUGGAAGUGGAAGCAGACUCCUUAAUUUUUCCUUUGCCACCAUUACCAAAUUCUUCAAUUAGCU
rnacentral:lncRNA from 1 species